rnacentral:rRNA from 1 species
AACGAACGCUGGCGGCAUGCCUAAUACAUGCAAGUCGAACGAGAUCUUCGGAUCUAGUGGCGCACGGGUGCGUAACGCGUGGGAAUCUGCCCUUGGGUUCGGAAUAACUUCUGGAAACGGAAGCUAAUAUCGGAUGAUGACGUAAGUCCAAAGAUUUAUCGCCCAAGGAUGAGCCCGCGUAGGAUUAGGUAGUUGGUGAGGUAAAGGCUCACCAAGCCGACGAUCCUUAGCUGGUCUGAGAGGAUGAUCAGCCACACUGGGACUGAGACACGGCCCAGACUCCUACGGGAGGCAGCAGUAGGGAAUAUUGGACAAUGGGCGAAAGCCUGAUCCAGCAAUGCCGCGUGAGUGAUGAAGGCCUUAGGGUUGUAAAGCUCUUUUACCCGGGAUGAUAAUGACAGUACCGGGAGAAUAAGCUCCGGCUAACUCCGUG